AACAUGUCAAAUAUAAUUAAUAAAGUAAAAAUGUCAAAUAUAGUAAAACGUAGAAAUAUGCUUAUCCAAUUUGUCACAAAGUGAAGGAAUAGUUGCCCGUAACAACCAAAUGCAGGCAGCAUUAGGCUUUGCCACGCUGACAAAUGCUUUCAAUUUAUUAUUUAGCAGACCACAUUAACAAGUCUCUUUUAUCUUGAGCAUUUUUCGGUGCACUCUCAAGACGAAAAAUUACUGGGAACACAUUAUAUUUGACGGAUGGAUAAUGAGCCAUAAAAUUUUGAAGAAAAGGAAAAAAAAACAAAAAGAAAAAUGGUUUGGGGUUUGAUGCAAAUCUUUGUUAUUGUUUUCAUGGCGGGCAAAAUAAAUGAAGUGAAGUUUUAUUGUUUUCAUAAAAAAUGAAUAUGGGAUGUACAAAACGAAGAUACCCUACAUAAGGGCUGGGAUGAAUGUUUGCCGCAGCUUCAUGUUUGCUUCAAUGUAAUUUCUUUAUGUGUGGAUUAAGAAAAUAUAAUAACUUAAUCUAGAUAAAUAAACCUUUUCCAACAUGUUUAAA